UUCGUAGACGGUACAGUAAGUUAUUUGUUAAAUAUUAAAGCCUAACUUUAAAAAAACAUUUAAAACUGCUUUACUUUGAGUUUUAAACAGAAGAGUAGAAUUUUAUAAGAAGGGAUAAAAUCUGAAAAUAUGUAAAGGAAUAUCGAUAGUGAAGACAACUCUUUAGUAAAAACUGACGUUGAGGGACGAAAGUGUAGGGAGCAAAUA
rnacentral:rRNA from 1 species